UGGGGAAUAUUGCACAAUGGGCGGAAGCCUGAUGCAGCGACGCCGCGUGAGGGAUGGGGGCCUUCGGGUUGUGAACCUCUUUCGCCAGUGAUGAAGGCCUGUCUUUUUUGGGUGGGUUGACGGUAGCUGGGUAAGAAGCGCCGGCUAACUACGUGCCAGCAGCCGCGGUAAUACGUAGGGCGCGAGCGUUGUCCGGAAUUAUUGGGCGUAAAGGGCUCGUAGGCGGCUGGUCGCGUCUGUCGUGAAAUCCUCUGGCUUAACUGGGGGCUUGCGGUGGGUACGGGCCGGCUUGAGUGCGGUAGGGGAGACUGGAAUUCCUGGUGUAGCGGUGGAAUGCGCAGAUAUCAGGAGGAACACCGGUGGCGAAGGCGGGUCUCUGGGCCGUUACUGACGCUGAGGAGCGAAAGCGUGGGGAGCGAACA
rnacentral:rRNA from 1 species